GACGUAGGGGGCCAGCGUUGUUCGGAAUUACUGGGCGUAAAGGGCGCGUAGGCUGUGCUGUAAGUCAGGCGUGAAAGCCCCGGGCUCAACCUGGGAAUUGCGCUUGAUACUGCGGCGCUGGAAGGUGGGAGAGGAUGGCGGAAUUCCCAGUGUAGAGGUGAAAUUCGUAGAUAUUGGGAAGAACACCGGUGGCGAAGGCGGCCAUCUGGCCCACAUUUGACGCUGAGGCGCGAAAGCGUGGGGAGCAAACAGG
rnacentral:rRNA from 1 species